AGAAGAACCUUAAAGAUGAUUUCUCUUACUGUAAUCCUACUAGCUAUGGGACUCAUAGCACAAGAGUCAUCAGCUGAUAUAAUACUGACUCAGUCUCCCUCAUCAAAGUCUGUUAAGUCUGGUGAAACUGUCUCAAUCAGCUGCACAGCCAGUGAGAGUGUUACUGGCUCGUAUGUGUAUCUCCACUGGUACUCCCAGAAACCUGGAGAAGCUCCUAAACUCCUGAUUUACAGGGCAACAACUCGUCAAUCUGGUGUUCCAGAUCGUUUCAGUGGGAGUGGGUCUGGUACACAGUUCACUCUGACCAUCAGCAGAAUCCAGCCUGAAGAUGCUGCAGAUUAUUACUGUCAGCAGAGUAAUGCAUUUCCAUUCACACAGUGUUAGAGCGCCAUACAAAAACCUCCCUCAGCAGGAGAGAAUCAGAGCCCUCAGGAGACUGAUCUGAGAACAGGUGCAGAGCUGCUACAGAUGACUGAACUCAGCUCAUGGUAGCAGCUCUUUCAGAGGAUGUGCACAUGAUCUCAGUCUCACCAGUACAGCAUGUUAAAAUAGAUC